rnacentral:lncRNA from 1 species
CAAACACACACACACACACAGACACACACAUGCAGCUCCCACCCCACACACGGUGCAGGAUCUGCUGCAUGCAGCCCUUGGGAAGGGGGGGGGGGGCUGUGCUGCAUCCAUGCAGAGCUGUGCAGGGUGGCUGCAGGGAUGCAUUGGUGCAGGGGGGGGGCUGUUCUGUAGGGGUGCAGUGGGUGCAGAUAUGCUGGCACCAGGGGGAUGCAACGGGGCUGCAACAGGGAUGCAAUGGGUGCAUGGGUGCUGAUACCAUGGGGAUGCAGUGGGUGUGCAAUGGGUGCAGGGAUGCUGGCACCAUGGGGAUGCAAUCUCUAUGGGGUGCAGUAGGGAUGCAUUGGUGCAGACACGCUGUUACCAUGGGGAUGCAAUGGGGGAUGCAAUAGGGAUGCAAUGGGUGCAGGGAUGCUGUCUCUAUGGGGUGCAGUAGAGAUGCAUUGGUGCAGGGAUGCUGGAGCCAUGGGGGUGCAAUGGGGCAUGCAACGGGGAUGCAAUGGCUGCAUGGGUGCUGACACCAUGAGGAUGCAAUGGGGGAUGCAAUGGCUGCAUGGGUGCUGACACCAUGGCAUUGCCUGGCCCUGCUGCUACUGCAGGACCCCCAGACCCCCCUCCCUGCUCCCAGUGGCUGCUCUGCAUUUAUUGCAUGCACUGAGCAGCCCCCAGCAGCAGCAGCAGCAGCAGCAGCAGCAGCAGCAGCUCCCCUCCUGCAGGAGCAGCACGCUGAGCUGUGCAUGCACCAAACCUGCAACCCAAGUUGUCCCCGGGGUUGUUGCUGCAGCGCUGCUCCCCUGCAGAUCUGGAGGCUCUGCUGGCCGCCCUGCAUCCCUUCCUGCUGCUCCUCGACCAGGAGAACCUCAGCGCUGCAGCCCGGGCCAAGAAGCAGCAAAUUGCAGAACUGCUGCGACGGCUGCAGGGCCCGGCAGCAGAGGAUGCAGAAUACAUGAUGAUGCGCUGCAUCUCGCCAUCACUGGGGAUGCAGCAGGGACGGGAUAAUGCAGGUGAGUUAUGCUGCAUGUCGAGCUGCUCACCAUCCUGCAUUGCUGCACGUUGAGCUGCUCACCAUCCUGCAUUGCUGCACGUUGAGCUGCUCACCAUCCUGCAUUGCUGCACGUUGAGCUGCUCACCAUCCUGCAUUGCUGCACAU